ACGCGCAUUACUAAUGGGUAACGCGAUGCACCUAAGCCGAUAUGAUUCAAAGUGGCGCACCAUACGCUGUUUCUAGAUUAGGGUUUCUCCUCUCUCGCUCAAUACACCUAAAACAUAGAGGGCAAAUCUUUUGGUAAGAUCCCUAAGACCGAUCUAGAAAUUUCCUUGCUUUCCUCGAUUUUUAUGAAGAUUUUGAGAUUGUUCUGUGUACGCACUUAGAAUUAGAAAUAAAUUGCCGAAUAGGGAAACCCUAAGCUUAAUUCUAGGUUUUCAGUAAAAUGGACGAAAAUGAAGCUGGCGAGCAGUUUCAUCGGAACGAAGCCAUAUCCGCUGUAGCUGACGAGGGUUUCCUCGCCGAAGAGGAAGAUGACUAUGAAGAUCUGUAUAACGAUGUUAAUGUUGGUGAGAACUUCCUUCAGUCGAUUAGGAAGAACGAGGAUAAUCUAGGUCAGAGAAAUGAGCAAGUGCCGGAGAACAAGGCCGAGCCGACUCCUCCGCCGCGUCAAGCACCGCAGCCGGUAGUGGAGAGUCGGGGUGGGGCUGUACAAGACGAGGGAGAAUCAACGAGGGAUUCUGUUAGAGUAGAGGCGCAUCAGAAUUUGGGGUUUAGGGGGAAUAAUAGUAUUAACGAUAUUGGGGCUGGUAGAGGUUUGGGGGUGACAGGUGGAAGUGGAUUGGGGAUUCCAGGUGCUGUGGGGUUUAGGGUUGAACUAAAGCAGUCAUCGAAUAAACCAGCUGAGUUCGAAGAGCAGACCGUGAAUAACAGUGCUGCAAAUAGUCAACAAAUGGUUCAGCAUCAGCAGCCACGUGCAGCCAAUAUAGGAGUUGCAGCAAGCCCUGUAAAUGUUGGAAUCGGGGGGAAUGUGACUGGGACUGGAGGAUACAUACCUGGAAGUGGUGUUGGCAGCGGGACUACUGCUGCUGGUGGUGGUGGUGGUGGUGGUGGAGGAACAAUUCUUUUUGUUGGUGAUUUGCAUUGGUGGACAACUGAUUCUGAGCUGGAGGAGGAGCUAAGCAAGUAUGGGCCAGUAAAGGAAGUGAAAUUUUUUGAUGAGAAGGCUAGUGGGAAGUCAAAAGGUUACUGUCAGGUAGAAUUUUUCAACCCCGAUAGUGCCACUGCAUGUAAGGAAGGAAUGAAUGGGCAUUUGUUUAAUGGACGGCCAUGUGUAGUUGCAUAUGCCUCACCAUAUAGUGUCAAGAGAAUGGGUGAAGCUCAGUUGAAUAGAAACCAAAAUGCGGCCCAGCCAGCUGUUAAUCAACCACGAAGAGGGCCUGGAGGAACUGGAGAUGUGCCAGGUAAACCUAGCGGCGGCGGUGGAGGCGGAGGCAACAUGGCUAUAGGUGGGAACUAUCAAGGCAGUGGUGAUGGUCACAGAGGUUUUGGGAGAGGGAAUUGGGGUAGAGGUAAUGGUCAAGGAGGUAUGGGGAAUAGGGGGCCUAUGGGUCCAAUGAGAAACAGGGGUGGUGGAAUAGGUGGUCGUGGUUUAAUGGGUAACGGUAAUGGAUUUGCGCAGGGGAUUGGUGCCACUCCUCCAUUAUUACAUCCUCAAACCAUGAUGGGUCAGGGAUUCGAUCCUGCUUUUGGAGGGCCCAUGGGGAGAAUGGGUAGUUAUGGAGGAUUUCCUGGUGCGCCUGCCCCACCCUUUUCUGGAAUGUUAUCUUCAUUUGGACCUGUUGGAAGUGUUGGUUUGCCUGGUGUUGCUCCCCAUGUGAAUCCGGCAUUUUUUGGGAGAGGGAUGCCCAUGAAUGGUAUGGGUAUGAUGCCUGCUCCUGGAUUUGAGGGGCCUCAUAUGGGCACAUGGUCGGAUCCUAAUAUGGCUGGAUGGACAGGCGACGAGCAUGGUGGGAGAGCAGGAGAGUCUAGUUAUGGAGAAGAAGCUGCAUCUGACCAUCAGUAUGGAGAAGGGAGCCAUGAUAAAGGGCCUUGGGCAAAUGAUACUAAAGAGAAGGACAGAGGCUCAGAAAGGGAUUGGUCUGGAUCUUCAGAUAGGAGGUAUCGAGAUGAUAGAGAACCAGGCUAUGACAGAGAUAUGCCUCGAGAAAAAGAUACGGGGCAUGAUCGUGAGUGGUCGGAAAGGAGGCAUCGCGAUGGAAGUGUUGGUGUACGAGACAGGGAGAGGGACCGCGACCGGGACCGGAAUCCUGGUCAUUCUCGAGACCGCGAGCGUGAACGUGGGAGGGACCGUGAUCAUCAACGGGAUGACAGAGAUGUAUAUGCUGAUCAUCAUAGGUACAGGGACCGUGAGCCAGAAUAUGAUGAUGAAUGGGACAGGGUAAGAUCGUCCAGGACUCACAGCAAAUCGAGACUAUCACAUGAGGAAGAUCGUAGGUCAAGAUCAAGGGAUGCCGAUUAUGGGAAGAGGCGACGCCUAACUUCUGAGUAAUCAGGUGUUCACUGCAUCUCUCAGCAUUGUAGUUCAGAAAGAAACUGGAAACUGAUUAGGUACUAGGUAAACUAUGGGUUAGCCAUGAUCAUUUAGACUCUUUAAAUAGCUUCUUUCUUGGUUGCCUCGCUUCAGUGGACGCUGAACAGUCAUGCACUUCAAUACAUUCUAUGGCUUCUAUGUUGUGAAAUCUGUGAUGGCUUCUUCUGAAAGAUUAUGGGUUUUCUCAGCACAUGAAUAAAAUGGAAGCCUAUGAUUCUGGAGCUGUUCUACUGGAAGUCUGUAUGGAUGGGCAUAAAGCUUUAGUUUGGAAGAUGAUAUGACAUGGUGACACCUCUUAGCCAGGAUAGUGCUGCUCGUCGUCGAACCUUUUUAAGUAUUCGAACAUUUCAUUUAUCUUUUUGUUUAAUGUCGCUUUAACAAUCUAAUGUUGUGGAUGAUGAUUAUGGCUUGAAACGCUGAAGUGUUGAGAUCUGGUGAAUAAUUUAGAAUGUUGCUAUUUGAAUGUGAUGUAUUAGGAUUGAAGACAGGAUGAUAAACAUGUGCCCCCUUUUCUGUUUUUUAUUUUUUGUAACUUUACCCCCUUUUUUCUUAGGUUUAUCGUGUUAAUCAUGCCAUUUAUGUGAAGAUUAUGUAGAAUGUAGCUAUACAAUCAAGGGGAUUAUUGAACCCAA